rnacentral:rRNA from 1 species
AGAGUUUGAUCCUGGCUCAGAAUGAACGCUGGCGGCGUGCCUAACACAUGCAAGUCGAGCGGUAAGGCCCCUUCGGGGGUACACGAGCGGCGAACGGGUGAGUAGCGCGUGGGUAACCUACCCAGAGGUGGGGGAUAGCCUCGGGAAACCGGGGGUAAUACCGCAUCAGUCCUCGAUGACGGAAGUCGUCGAGGGGAAAGGCGGGGCUCCUUCGGGACCUGUCGCCUCUGGAUGGGCUCGCGUCCGAUUAGCUUGUUGGUGAGGUAAUGGCUCACCAAGGCUGCGAUCGGUAGCCGGCCUGUGAGGGUGAACGGCCACAUUGGGACUGAGACACGGCCCAGACUCCUACGGGAGGCAGCAGUGGGGAAUAUUGGGCAAUGGGGGAAACCCUGACCCAGCGACGCCNCGUGGAGGAUGAAGGCCUUCGGGUUGUAAACUCCUGUCAGGUGGGAAGAAAUGCCNGCCGGAUAAUACCCGGUCGGAGUUGACGGUACCACCAAAGGAAGCCCCGGCUAACUCCGUGCCAGCAGCCGCGGUAAUACNGGAGGGAGCAAGCGUUAUUCGGAUUUACUGGGCGUAAAGCGCACGUANGCNGNAUGGUAAGUCAAAGGNGAAAGCCCUNGGNUCAACCGAGGAACUGCC